GCAGUUAAAACUGAGCGGUGGUUCUGGCCAAUUCUGUUCCAGAUGCACAUGUGACCUCAGUGGAGCUGACAGCUGGAGCUGGCAGCUGGAUCUGCACCUGGACUGGAGUUCCCAGAACGGUGGGGCUGGAGAGAAGAACCUAGGAGCUUCUCAGAAGUUACUUAAACGGAUCCUCCUCCACUUUUGGUUUUCACCACUAAAUGGGACACCAAUGGGGCAAAACAACUGCCAUGAAACAGGAAGCCGGGGGCAGAAAUGGAAGAGGACAAGAACGAAAGGGAACAUUCCCUGA
rnacentral:lncRNA from 1 species